UUUUAUAGACUAUUUACAAGUACCCUGUUGACACAGUUCAACUUAAAAAGUUUUGGUGGAAAGAUUGCUUUAUCAUCAUCCAAAUUAUAUGGUGUAAUGGAAGAAGUUGUAAAGAGAAGAUUUAAAAGAGUUUCAAAUGCUGAUAUCAAAAAUGCUCCAUCGCGGAAAAAUACAAAUUAAAUGACAACUAAUUCAUUUGCUGUUUUGUUGCUGUUUUUUUUCUAAAGAUUCUUUUUAUGGAAAGUAAUAUUAAUAAAAUGAAGCCAGACGCUUUUGAUCCAACAGUAUUAGAUAACUCCAGUCCAUCAGAUCCUACAGUUUUAAAUUAGUUCUUGACCCUUGUUUGUCAUUUGUAUAUACUGAGAACAGUAAGUAUUCGCUUGAUCUAGAAAGUACUGCAACAUGUAUAUGUCAAAGUGGUUUUGUUUAUGAUCGCAUUAAAAAUUCAUGC